AUACGAAGGGGGCAAGCGUUGUUCGGAAUAACUGGGCGUAAAGCGCACGUAGGCGGAAUGUUAAGUUAGAGGUGAAAUCCCAGGGCUCAACCCUGGAACUGCCUUUAAUACUGGCAAUCUAGAGACCGAGAGAGGUGAGUGGAAUUCCGAGUGUAGAGGUGAAAUUCGUAGAUAUUCGGAGGAACACCAGUGGCGAAGGCGGCUCACUGGCUCGGUUCUGACGCUGAGGUGCGAAAGCGUGGGGAGCAAACAGGAUUAGAUACCCUAGUAGUCC
rnacentral:rRNA from 1 species